CCUACGGGAGGCUGCAGUGGGGAAUAUUGGACAAUGGGGGCAACCCUGAUCCAGCCAUGCCGCGUGUGUGAAGAAGGCCCUCGGGUUGUAAAGCACUUUCAGUGAGGAAGAACGCCUGGUGGUUAAUACCCAUCAGGAAAGACAUCACUCACAGAAGAAGCACCGGCUAACUCCGUGCCAGCAGCCGCGGUAAUACGGAGGGUGCGAGCGUUAAUCGGAAUUACUGGGCGUAAAGCGCGCGUAGGUGGCUUGAUAAGUCGGUUGUGAAAGCCCCGGGCUCAACCUGGGAACGGCAUCCGGAACUGUCAAGCUAGAGUGCAGGAGAGGAAGGUAGAAUUCCCGGUGUAGCGGUGAAAUGCGUAGAGAUCGGGAGGAAUACCAGUGGCGAAGGCGGCCUUCUGGACUGACACUGACACUGAGGUGCGAAAGCGUGGGUAGCAAACAGGAUUAGAUACCCUUGUAGUC
rnacentral:rRNA from 1 species